UACGUAGGGGGCAAGCGUUGUCCGGAAUCAUUGGGCGUAAAGCGCGUGUAGGCGGUUUGGUAAGUCCGCUCUGAAAGUCCGGGGCUCAACCCCGGGAGGCGGGUGGAUACUGUCAGACUAGAGUGCGGAAGAGGCGAGUGGAAUUCCCGGUGUAGCGGUGAAAUGCGCAGAUAUCGGGAGGAACACCAAUGGCGAAGGCAGCUCGCUGGGACGUUACUGACGCUGAGACGCGAAAGCGUGGGUAGCAAACAGG
rnacentral:rRNA from 1 species